UACGUAGGUGGCAAGCGUUGUCCGGAUUUACUGGGCGUAAAGAGCGCGCAGGCGGUCGUUCAAGUCGCGUGUGGAAGCCCCCGGCUCAACUGGGGAGGGUCACGCGAUACUGAUCGACUCGAAGGCAGGAGAGGGAAGUGGAAUUCCCGGUGUAGUGGUGAAAUGCGUAGAUAUCGGGAGGAACACCAGUGGCGAAGGCAGCUCGCUGGGACGUUACUGGCGCUGAGACGCGAAAGCGUGGGGAGCAAACAGG
rnacentral:rRNA from 1 species